GAUGAAGAACGUAGCAAACUGCGAUACUUGGUGUGAAUUGCAGAAUCCCGUGAACCAUCGAGUCUUUGAACGCAAGUUGCGCUUGAAGCCAUUAGGCCGAGGGCACGCCUGCCUGGGCGUCACACGUCGUUGCCCCCCCAUCUACUCCUUCGGGAUUGCGGGGGGCGGAUGAUGGCCUCCCGUGCGCCUCGUCGCGCGGUUGGCCUAAAUGCCAAGUCCUCGGCGACGCACGCCACGACAAUCGGUGGUUGCGAAACCUCGGUUGCCCGUCGUGUGCGGUCGUCGCGCAUCGAGGGCUCGAAAAAAUUGCCGGGCUUCAGCUCGACUUUCAACGCGACCCCAGGUCAGGCGGGGUUACCCGCUGAAUUUAAGCAUAUCAAUAAGCGGAGGA
rnacentral:misc_RNA from 1 species